rnacentral:tRNA from 1 species
GUUAUCAUAGCUUACAACCAAGCACAGCACUGAAAAUGCUAAGACAGCCCAACUUUAUAACA